UAGGGAAUCUUCGGCAAUGGGGGGAACCCUGACCGAGCAACGUCGCGUGAGUGAAGAAGGUUUUCGGAUCGUAAAGCUCUGUUGUUAAGGAAGAACGAGUGUGAGAAUGGAAAGUUCAUACUGUGACGGUACUUAACCAGAAAGGGACGGCUAACUACGUGCCAGCAGCCGCGGUAAUACGUAGGUCCCGAGCGUUGUCCGGAUUUAUUGGGCGUAAAGCGAGCGCAGGCGGUUAGAUAAGUCUGAAGUUAAAGGCAGUGGCUCAACCAUUGUAGGCUUUGGAAACUGUUUAACUUGAGUGCAGAAGGGGAGAGUGGAAUUCCAUGUGUAGCGGUGAAAUGCGUAGAUAUAUGGAGGAACACCGGUGGCGAAAGCGGCUCUCUGGUCUGUAACUGACGCUGAGGCUCGAAAGCGUGGGGAGCGAACAGG
rnacentral:rRNA from 1 species